UACGGAGGGAGCUAGCGUUGUUCGGAAUUACUGGGCGUAAGGCGCACGUAGGCGGCUAUUCAAGUCGGGGGUGAAAGCCCGGGGCUCAACCCCGGAACUGCCCUCGAAACUAGAUAGCUAGAAUCUUGGAGAGGCGAGUGGAAUUCCGAGUGUAGAGGUGAAAUUCGUAGAUAUUCGGAAGAACACCAGUGGCGAAGGCGACUCGCUGGACAAGUAUUGACGCUGAGGUGCGAAAGCGUGGGGAGCAAACAGG
rnacentral:rRNA from 1 species